rnacentral:rRNA from 1 species
AAGGAUCAUUACCGAGUGUAGGGUUCCUAGCGAGCCCAACCUCCCCACCCGUGUUUACUGUAACCUUAGUUGCUUCGGCGGGCCCGCCUUUAAGGCCGCCGGGGGGCAUCAGCCCCCGGGCCCGCGCCCGCCGGAGACACCACGAACUCUGUCUGAUCUAGUGAAGUCUGAGUUGAUUGUAUCGCAAUCAGUUAAAACUUUCAACAAUGGAUCUCUUGGUUCCGGCAUCGAUGAAGAACGCAGCGAAAUGCGAUAACUAGUGUGAAUUGCAGAAUUCCGUGAAUCAUCGAGUCUUUGAACGCACAUUGCGCCCCCUGGUAUUCCGGGGGGCAUGCCUGUCCGAGCGUCAUUGCUGCCCAUCAAGCACGGCUUGUGUGUUGGGUCGUCGUCCCCUCUUCGGGGGGGACGGGCCCCAAAGGCAGCGGCGGCACCGCGUCCGAUCCUCGAGCGUAUGGGGCUUUGUCACCCGCUCUGUAGGCCCGGCCGGCGCUUGCCGAACGCAAAACAACCAUUCUUUCCAGGUUGACCUCGGAUCAGGUAGGGAUACCCGCUGAACUUAA